rnacentral:lncRNA from 1 species
AAAAAAAGAAGAUAGACCCAUCGAAAAGACCAAAGAGACAAAAGUUGCCACCCGCAGCAUACAUGGAUCCCCCUAAUCGGAAUUCUCUCAUUCUUGAAGAGAAUACACAGAAAGAGACCUAUACACACAGAUACAACAACCGAUUUUUUACUAAGAACAACGACUAUACUAAAUUAUUAGAGAUAUACACUCUAUAGAAGAAGAGAUCGGCGGCAGGCCCAAAAAAUCCAGAACAUCCCCCCACCCAAAACCCCCCUCUAUUCAUCUCCUUCAGCAAAUCAACGACCACCCUAAGAUUCAUCUUGGCUAGACCAUUCGAACACAUAGACUCACACGAAAAAUAAAAAAUGGGGCUUUGAAGGAAGACAAAAUAGAGGUUCGUUAUUCAACUUCAAAUCGACUAAAUAGGUUAGAAUUUUCACAUUCUCAUCUAAGAAGUUUUAGAUUCUUCAACGAAGCUCUCGCAGUCGUGCAAAACUUAGAGAAACAGAGAGUUUGGGGAGGUUCCCCCGGGUCUUGUACGAGUUUCCAAUUGACAUUCAUUCAAUUAGAUUUAUUAGCCGUAGUUCUAUUUCCGCGUCGAUGUCCCUUGUGUUUAUUGCUCAUAGGGAAAUUUUAAUUGAAU